ensembl:lncRNA
GAACCCCCCUUCACUGGGCUGCGAUCAAAGGACAUCUGGAGGUGCUGCAGCUCCUGAUAGACCACGGAGCCAGGCCCUGCCUGGUCACUGAUGUGGGCUGGACCCCAGCUCAUUUUGCAGCUGAGUCGGGCCACCUGCAUGUGCUCAAAACGCUGCACGCGCUGCACGCCGCCAUCGAUGCCCCGGACUUCUUUGGAGACACGCCGAAGAGGAUCGCGCAGAUCUACGGGCAGAAGGCCUGUGUGGCCUUCCUGGAGAAAUGACAGAGGUGCCCCGGCUGUGUACAGAAAGCAGAGGAGAGGUCCCUCCGCAGGCCAGGCAGGCUGUCUGGUCCCCAGAUUGCGGGCUGAGAGCUGGCUCCCUUCUUCUAGGGCUGAGCCUCAGUGCCGGGACCACCGCCAGGCUGCCAGGCAGAAGGGGCUGCAGCUGGAUCAGCGGGACGAAGACUGGGAUGCCAAGAAGAGGGAGAUGGAGCUGUCGCUUCCUUCCUGGAAUCCAAACCCUGAGAAGAAAAAGAGUAAGAAACAUCGAGGGUCCACCAAGCUCAGCAACACUAAGAGAGAGCGUGAGAGGAUGGCCUCCGAGGGAUGGGAGCCUCUGAGGGAUGGCAGGAGACUUUCCCUGGUGCCAGAAUGGUUAUUAGGUAUGUGUCCUCCUGCUCCAUCCUAGACCAUUAAUUAUCCAGACAGCUUCUACCUGUAUCUCCUGACCUAUCAUUCAGCCUGGAAGUCUUGCCUGGACUCUCUACAUGGGCUGUCCCCUCCUUGCUAAUACCUGCUUGUCCCCAAGAAUGACCAGGAGGGAACAAAUGUGAUUUGCACUGUCGUCACUGCUUUGUACUGUCAGCAUCUCCUGAGCCCCUCAAUGCAAUUCUAGAGCUCCAGGCGCAAAGAAAAAUCUCCUCCUGAGGAAACUUCAUUGUUUCAAUGCAAAAAAAAAAAAAAAAAAAAGCAACAACUGUAUCUGAAAAAUCUUCAACAUUCUCAGGUCAGUUAAUCUAUGAAUAAAAGUUUGUUGUCACAUAGACCAAGCACAAAGAGGAAGAGAUGGGUCUUAGUUUCCAGCUAUUUAUUCUUAUGAGGGAUAGAAAACCACAAUUUCAGCAGGGCCAUUUUUACCACCAAUCCCUUCUACGUAGGAGAAAACAACCCGGACAAUAGACCAGCUCAGUGAGAAAUAAAAACCUUGGUUUAAUCUCUUCCCACUUAAUAAUGACACAUGGCAUAAAAUAAUGGAACAUGUGAUGACAGCUCUGUUUGAUCAGUGGUAUAUUUUAGAAAAUCUAAAUACAGAUCAGAUGCUGCCAAUGAAAAUAUUGCAUUGGCAUUGAGAUGCACUAUAAAUGUAAACUGCGUAUUAUAUUUUGAAGACCUAGGAUAAAAAAUCAUGAAUCAUUAAUAAUAAUUAAUACUAAAUGUUAAAAUUUUUUUUUUGGUCUUUUUGUCUUUUCUAGGGCCACACCCGUGGCAUAUGGAGGUUCCCAGGCUAGGGCUCUAAUCGGAGCUGUAGCUGCCAGCCUACACCACAGCCACGGCAAUGAGGGAUCUGAGCCGCAUCUGUGACCUACAUCACAGCUCACGGCAAUGCCGGAUCCUUAACCCACUGAGUGAGGCCAGGGAUCAAACCCAAAACCUCAUGGUUCUCAGUCGGAUUUGUUAACCACUGAGCCACAAUGGGAACUCCUAUUUUGGAUAUUAUAUUAACUAAAAGGUAUUACUAACAUAAAUUUUACCUUUUAUCUUUUCAAUUUUUUUUAAAUGUGUCUAGUAGACUGUUUAAAAUUAUAUAAGUGGCUCCCCCCCACCCCCACCCCCGUCAUCAGAUAGCAGUGCAGUAGAAACUGAACCAUAUUUAGAGCCUCCACCAGGCAGCUGGGCUGGAGCACUUGAAGUGGCUAGUUUCUAGUUCUGCUUCCUUACUCAGAAAAUCAGCGAUACUGCUUUCAUAAUAAGAGUUCAUCUUUUGCUGACAGUAUGGUGAAUUAAUUGUUUUCCUCCUAAAACCAGUCUUUCUUAGUAAGCACAACCUUUAAAGAUCACAGACUUAUGAGUUAAGCAGACUUAGGUUUGUAUCCUCCUCUAGGAAAUAAGCGAAAUAAUCCUUACUUCCUGGGAUUGCUGUGCAGGAUGAGAUGAUGCAUAAGGUGCUCGCAGCGGCACUCUGUAACUGGUCCAGGUAAUGGCUAUUGUAUUACUAUAGGAGUGAGUUCAGCUUUUCUUGAGAAUUCCAAAGGGAUCCAGGAAGGAUGCCUGGCACUCCAUUGUCCAGGCGCUCCAUUGUCCAGUCCAUAAAUAUCCCCUGCCUAGUUUCAUAACAUGGAUAAGAGCCUGCCUUCCACUGUCUGGAAAGACCUGGACCAAACACUGGUAAAUAUUCUUAGGGUCCUUUGCUGGGUCCAUAACCCCCUGCCACCCAGCAUCCUCACUGAGUCCCCCUUCAAUGUUAACCUCAUCAAAGCAUGAGGAGGAGUUUAUUUCUUGUCCCACCAGUUUUUGUACAGUUUAUGAGGACCACAGAAAGAGGACAUGGAAAUAGCUUCCUUGUAUGAAGAAUCUGUUGGGAUGCAGAUUCUGUACUAAGCACUAUAUGUGCAUUAUUUCGAAUCUGCAUGACACACCUGCAAGGUGGAUAUCAUUGUCCCCAGUUGACACCACAAACUAAAAUUCUGAGAGGUUGAGUGACUUUGUCCUAGGCCACCUAGCUGAUGCUUAUAAAACCUUUAAAGUAUGCCUGAAUUGGGUGGAGCGCUAACCCUUCAGGCUGUGUGAGCUCGGGUGGGUUGCUUAACUUCUCUGUUUUCCCUGUCUGUAACUUGGGGAAAAUACAGUGUGUCAUGAGGAAGACAAUGAGAUAAGCAUCACACAUUUAGUAUAAUGCUCCCCUAUUGAAGGGUCAUUAAAUUACAUGGAAAUCUUUUCUUGGCCAUUGAAAUUUUUCAUAUCUUAGUAUUUUUUUUUUUUUUUAUUUUAACAGCUGCACCUGCAGCAUAUGGAAGUUCCCCGUCUAGGGGUUGAAUUGGAACUGCAGCUGCAGACCUACACCACAGCCAUGGCAACCCUGGAUCCAAGCACAGCUUGUGGCAAUGCCAGGUCCUUAAUCCACUGAGUGAGGCCAGGGAUUGAACCCGCACCCUCAUGGACACUAUGUCAGGUUCUUAACCCACUGAGCCACGGUGGGAACUCCCUCAUAUCUUAUUAAAAAAAAAUCAGUAUUUACUGAACAGAUUCUGUAUCAUAAAACAGAGCACAAGGUGUAUCUUCAUGAAAUAAAACAUGAAACACGCAGUCAAUGAUUUUAUUAUUUGGCAUUAGGAUAUCAAAGAAGUUUGUGAGAUUGUUUUUCCAGCAUAAAUUCCUUGGCAUUGCUUGAGAGAGCAUCUCAAACAGCGUGAAUUCAGCCAAACACAUUGUUAAAAUUUUCUCUUACCAGUGUUCUGACUUUCAUCUUUGAUCUUAUGAAUUUAGGCCAACACUUUGUUUUCUGUUUCUGUCCUGUAUACUCCGUUGGCAGGCAACACUUAAAAGCCCUGAGAAGAGAAACUUUGUGGAUGAAGACAAAUAAAGGCAACUAAUAAAAAAA